CGGUCUCAAAAGAUUCAAAGUCCAAGAUGGCAACCUUCAAGGACCAGCUGAUUGUGAAUCUUCUUAAGGAAGAACAGGUUCCCCAGAACAAGAUUACAGUUGUUGGGGUUGGAGCUGUUGGCAUGGCCUGUGCCAUCAGUAUCUUAAUGAAGGACUUGGCAGAUGAGCUUGCCCUUGUUGAUGUCAUGGGAAGAGCAGCUGAAGGGAGAGAUGAUGGAUCUCCAGCAUGGCAGCCUCUUCCUUAAAAACACCAACAAUCGUCUCCAGCAAAGACAACUGCAAACUUCAAGCUGGUCAUCAUCACAACAAGCAGGGGUCCAUCAGCAAGAGGGAGAGAGCCGACUCAAUCUGGUCCAGCAAACCGUGAACAUCUUCAAGUUCAUCAUUCCCAACAUUGUGAAGUACAGUCCACGCUGCAAGCUGCUUAUUGUCUCAAAUCCAGUGGAUAUCUUGACCUACGUUGCUUGGAAAAUCAGUGGCUUUCCGAGUUAUUGGAAGUGGUUGCAAUCUGGAUUCAGCUCGGUUCUGUUACCUGAAAGGCUGGGGGUUCACCCUCUGAGCUGUCACAGGUGCAUCCUGGGAGAACAUGGGGACUCUAGUGUGCGUGUGUGAAGUGAUGUGAACGUUGCCAGCAUCUCCCUGAAGUUUCUGAACCCAGAACUGAUGCAGAUAAGGAGCAGUGGAAGGAUGUUCACAAGCAGGUGGUUGACAGUACCUAUGAGGUGAUCAAGCUGAAAGGUUGCUCAUCCUGGACCAUUGGCCUCUCUGUGGCCGACUCGGCCAAGAGUGUAAUGAAGAACCUUAGGCGGGUGCAUCCCAUCUCCACCAUGAUUAAGGGUCUCUAUGGAAUCAGUGAUGAUAUCUUCCUCAGUGUCCCAUGUAUCCUGGGACAAAAUGGAGUCUCGGAUGUUGUGAAGGUGACACUGACUCCUGAGGAAGAGUCCCACCUGGAGAAGAGUGCAGAUACCCUCUGGGGAAUCCAGAAAGAGCUGCAGUUCUAA